CUAGAAUUGGUUGCAUAUAUUCUAUCAGCAUCAUCUGUUAUCAAGAGGUGGCUCUCUAAUUAGGCAGAGACCGAGGACCCGACACAGGUAAAUGUGAGUAUUAUACAUUUAUUUCUUCUCCUGGAUAUAUUUUAUACAGAGCGCACUAUCCGUUGUACCUUUGUUUUUACCUUUACAUAUCCUGCUGACAAGACACACCCUGACCUAUGUCUCUCAUCACAUCCCUGAAGUGGGGGAAUAAUACCACUGCAGACGCUUCACCCCAGAGCUGGAUAUUGCUCGUGUAAAGUG